UUUAACACUGUUCUGGCCGGUAGACGGCUGUUUCCCUCGGGAGUUCCUCGAAUCCUCAUUCAGUUUCUCGGCCUCCUUUUUUUAUCGUAGCGUAGUUGGUUCUGUUGUAAAAAUUUUAACGGAAAAAUUAUUAUCACGCGACGCGACUAGAUUACAGUCAGCGCUUGAGAUCUCCAUCGAUUGUUGUCACUCUGUUGGUCCAGUUAUGAUAAACCCCAGGCUGCUGCAAGGAUGUUUUGGGUGCGAGUUUUGAGUUUUGAGUUCCUGUUCUAACGGUGAAGGUUCACGCAUGAUAAAGCUGCUGCUCUUUGGCAACGGUUGUGCAAUCAACGAAACCGAAUAGAUAUUACUUACUUUCGACGAACGAAGAGAAGCGAGUGCGGGGAAGGACGGGCAGGGCAGUUCUGGCUGUAGCAGAUAUUUCAGUAGAAGAUUGAAGACAGAAUUUUGACUCACAGCGAGUGUCUACGACUGGAAAGUGUCGUGGCUGGCCGCUGGAGAGGCCUACGUGGGCUUCUUAUAACUUU